rnacentral:rRNA from 1 species
AGCAGUGGGGAAUAUUGGACAAUGGGCGAAAGCCCGAUCCAGCCAUGCCGCGUGUGUGAAGAAGGUCUUCGGAUUGUAAAGCACUUUAAGUUGGGAGGAAGGGCAGUAAGCGAAUACCUUGCUGUUUUGACGUUACCGACAGAAUAAGCACCGGCUAACUCUGUGCCAGCGGCCGCGGUAAUACAGAGGGUGCAAGCGUUAAUCGGAAUUACUGGGCGUAAAGCGCGCGUAGGUGGUUUGUUAAGUUGAAUGUGAAAUCCCCGGGCUCAACCUGGGAACUGCAUCCAAAACUGGCAAGCUAGAGUAGGGCAGAGGGUGGUGGAAUUUCCUGUGUAGCGGUGAAAUGCGUAGAUAUAGGAAGGAACACCAGUGGCGAAGGCGACCACCUGGGCUCAUACUGACACUGAGG